GUUCAAUGUAUCCAGUCCUUUUUUUUAUUUCAAACAUCAAGAUGGAGUAAUUUAGUAUUUGGGGAGGGCAGGGAACACUUAGGACAUCAGAACUGUAUUGCUAUUUAUUAUUUGCAUCCUCUAAUAACCAACCUAGCCCCAAUCAACAAUACAGUCUUCAAAAUUCCUUUAAUCAAACAGGAUUUUCAGGAGAUGUUUAUAUUAAUAAGCAGACUAAGUGCCAAGUUUACAUUUGCUUUCUCCUUUAUGCACCACCAGGAUGCGUGCAUUGAGAGUGGAAUACAUGACCAGCAAAUGAAUGGGUAAGUGUCACACGCAAACAGCAUGACUAGAAAUUUAAGAAGCAAAGCGAUAAGAACCUUAGGGAAAGCAAAAUUCAUAAAAGUUUAGAAUUACAAGAGGCCUUAAUAGACCAUUUAAUCCAUUCUGAUGACAACUCCAGACAGAUGACAAUCUAUCCUAUUUUUAAAAGCCUCCAGAUUUCCAACCUCCCUAGAUGUCUCAUUCUGCCAUAUAAUUCUGUCAUGUGAUUUGGGGGAAAUAUUACAAGACUAUCCUUUGCCCUACCUAAUGAUCUAUUUUCUCAAAUAAUAGAACAAUACAUUUUAACUCACUUCCAAGAUACGCAAACGUGUACAGGUGCAUAAUACACAUGCAUGUAUAUAUAUAUGCACAUAUAUGCACACAGGCACCUAAGACACUCAGUUUUGCUUGUAUAAACACACACUAUAGAAACCCAGACAAGCAAAGGCACAUAUCCACCCUAUCCCAAUCAAAAAAGCACUAACAACAUCAAAUAACGAUUUUGACCUAAAAAUAACCAAUGGAAAUUAAUUUUAUAAAACCUUUAAGGUAACCAGGUUUCUUCUAUGAAUAAACAAAGCUUAUCUGUUUUCCACAAGUACUGCUUCUUUUCAGUACCCACCACAGGCAGAAUUCUAAAAACACAUAUGUACUGGAUCCAAGCAGAAAGUAAUUUGUUAAUGUUUGAUUGUUAAAACCAUUUAGCUAACAAUCAUUUUGGAAGAGGGCCCAAUGAAAUAGAUAGCAAUGACAGAGUACAGCCAGUGAUAACGAACAAGUAACCAGUUUUAAUCAAGCAGGCCAAAGAAGUGACUCAAAUAAAACAAAUCAUUUUUGGAACAUAUAUAGAAUGGGGAAGUCCCAAUCAACAAUGAGCCAAAUACUACUUGAAAAAAUUAAGCGUUAGGAAAUACACUAAAAUGUUAACCAUGACAUGCUAUCUCUAGAAAUUGAAUUACAAGGAUGAGUUAGUUUGUUCAGAUUUGGUAUUCCUAUUAUUCUGAUUAUCCAUAUUUUCUACUGUAUUAUAGACAAUAUUUUAAAAUUAAGGCAAAUUCUGUCCCCGUGUUUCACAGCAAUUUAGGAUGGAGAGCAUGUCUUUUAUAUAACCUCCAGAGAGAGGUGGUACCAGCUCCGGUCCUCCCCGUGUCUCCCGUGAACCUGCCACCCAUCACAGAAAAGGUUUCAUCAUUUUCCCUGGGACAGCUCCCUGUCAUCAUCAUCCUCAUCUCAUCCCACAGGCUAAACAAUGCAUCUCGUCUCCCCUCCAGGUAGCAGAGGCUUUAUAAAUUAUUUUAUCGAAGUGGGAGAUUUGGAGAAAGGUUCACUAAGAUGAUAAGCUGCCCAAGGCAGAGGAAAGGAGAAAGACACCUCGUCCCAACCUCCACCCCUCAGAAGGCAGACGGCAACAGGGGGCACCGGGGUCACGGCUCUCUCGGAUCCCGAAAGAGUCGGGCAGCCGCACCCCCAGCCCGACCCCGGCCAGGACAGCGGCGCUCGUUAGCGAAAAAGGGGUGGGGGAGAAGGUCCGAGAUCCGACCCGGAGGGCCGAGAGACAUGUGCGGCGAGCGGCGGGAGGGGCGGGUCCUUCCGCCCUCUGGGGCGAGCGGCUCGGCUUCGAACGCGGCUCUGAAGGCGCUCGGGCAGCGGGAGGCCUCCGGGGCUGGAGGGCCGCACCGCGCCGAGGGCUCCCACAGGCCUCGCCCGCCGCCCACCCGGGACCCCGGCGGCCCCGCUCGACAGCGGCCCGGGAACGGUCCCAGCCGGCCCUGCCCGCCGGCGCGGCACAGGCGGCCAGGAGGGCAGAAGAUGAGGGGUUACCGUACGCUGCUCCGGAGCUAGCAGGGUUAGGACGCGGCUCCAGCGACCCGAAGCCGGCUCGGCAGCGGCUGCGGCGGCCGCGUCCUUUAUUUUUGCUGCAGCAGCGGCGACUUGUCAAAGGGAACGACGUAAGAGGCGGUGGCAGCGGCGGCAGGCGACUGUGCCUAGCUGAACCCACCCAGGAGAUCAUCCGGCUGCCCAUCCUCCUGACCUCUGCAGAAGAGAAGGGCCUGACCUCCCAGUCCUUGCCAAGCACUGGCAAUCUCAGGCUGCUGUGACAACAGAGAGAUGUAAAGCCAAGUGGAUAGCUAGACUUGCGGCUGCCUCUGGCCCUGAGUUAAAGCUUUUUCAAAAAAUGGCAAUAACGUGACAAUGAUACUAACAACAACAGUAAUAAAUAUCUCCUCAG
ensembl:lncRNA